UGCAGGCAAGCUUUUGAAUAUUUUGAAUUCUUUUGAAUUUGAUUUUUCAAUUUUUGAUUUUGAAUUCAAAAAUAUUUUGAAUACAUUUGAAUAAAACUUUUGAAUAUUUCUGUACCACCCACAGAAGUGCUGCAGAACUCCUGCUUGCUUUCAUUUGGGCUGACCACGUCCUCUGUGAUCAUCCUCUGUGGUCUGCAUCAAGAAGCCUCACCAGAACUGUGCCGUAUGUGUGGUAAGCCAACUUGCUACAGGGUGACCAUAAUUAUGAGAUUCAGCGUUCCAGCCAGCCAUACUCAGUUCCAGCAGGGCAAGCCAUUGUUGCAUCAAAGCCAUUACAUUUAUCACCCAGUUUUAUUUUCCAAAUGACACUAACAUUCCAUGGCUUCACUGAGAUUUUGUAGGGAGGAAGGUUUUUCUCAUAAAAUAGUGCGCAUGUAAUUUGUUACGGCACAUUUUCAUGCCUCAGGGAACCCCAAGCAUCUUAACUUGUUUGGCUCCAUAGCUGAUGACGCUUACCACCUGAAUUUGUAAUUAAAGGAGGUGCUAGAGCGUGAUAUAAGCAAAGGUAUUUGCUCUACCUACUAAAUUAACCAUUGCUGCAGAGCUGGCUUAAUUAUUGCUCUAUUCCUCACGUUACCAAAAUUGCACACGAGAGGGAGCUCUAGGACCAACAAGCUCUUCACUGAGGAAUCGAAUUUGAAAUAAGAACAAACGAAAUAACCAUUCUGAUGUUUAACCUACCGAUAUGAUCUAGGCCACAGAGUGAAUUGAGCUAGGCAGGAAUAGCUGGCAUAGUGUGAGCGGGGAACUAACCAUAUCUCUGAUGGUUGAGGGAAGGCACCAGUGUGCAACCUUUUUUGCAACAGUUGUAACAUCCUCAUGACUGGUCCUUUGUCUGAUGAUCCCACAAGGCUGAACAAAGCUUGGGUAAACCUGAUAAUAAAAUUACGCAUCGACCGCCUUCUAGGGAACGAGGCAUUGUUAAAAGAAAUUGCAUGAGGAAACUGCAUUAAUCCGAAGUUCCUCAAAGCCUUUCUAUGCACAUUAAUUCAAUUGAGGAAGAACAAGGUACAUUUUGGGGCCUUUUCUCAGGUGCAGAGAAGAAGGCAUUUAAGUUGGGUGGGGGCACACAUUUCAUACUUAUAAAACAAUGUAAGUUCAUAUUAACACUGUCUUCAGGUAUUGCUAUUUCUGAACCAUUCCUAGGUCAUUUGUUUAUUUUGUUAAUUAUGUGUCACCAUACAGGAAGGCCACUCAAGACUGUAUGUAGAAAUACAUACAGUAAUGCAGAUUUAGUGCAAUUCAAUGGUCUUUCAUCUCAGAGAUUAUCAGAUUUUUUGAUUGUGGUGUUUGGACUCUGAAGGCUGAACCUUCACCCCAUUCCCUCACAGCCAGUGUGGAACGAUCCAUGCCGACAGCAAGCCUCGGGGACAGGGAGACUGCCAGAGUGUGGGGAGAAGAGGAGACUCUGUCCAUGAAGCGGUUCAGUUGCCAGUGUUUUGAACCACACCCAACUCUUCACCGGGCAUGAGUGUUCAGAGCAAAAUACGGACGAAAGGGAUAUUUGUUUUCACAUAUUCAUGCUGCCUGGCUGGCCACCUGGCUCUGCAGAGAACAAAGAAGGAAAGAGAAGGCAAAACAGAGACCAGAAUCCUGGAAUUUUGUACAAUGAUACUGCACUUUAAUCAAGGAGAAGAAGAAAAUUAAGAAUGAAAUGCUACUUCUAUUACUUCUUUGUAUCCUUCUGUGAUUUUUACCCUCAGUACUCAAGAAUAUUGCUUCCACAAUAUAAAAACAACUUGGCACAUUAAUAUUUGUGUUCUUUGUUACCAUUAUGCCUAAUGCUAUGGUUGGAGCAAUACUGGUGAUCACAUUUAAAGGAACUGUAUGAUUGGGGUCAAAUUCAGACUUCACCUCUUCGGUGCUGCCAGAAAGAGCUUGUCAAGUCAAUUUGAAUUCUUCUGCACAAAGAAUUUUCCUAGCAGCCAUAUGAAAUUCACCUCCCUGGUGUAAGAAUUACAUAAGGGUUCAUUUUCAGAUUGACAUACCAAGCUGUCACUGAAAAUUCCCCUCCUACAAAAUGGGCUUCCUUUCAGUGUAUUAUGGGGGAAUCCUUAACAGCCUGAUAAUUUUCUUCCCUAUCCAUGCCUUUCCAUACUGGUUUCUAUUACAUGAGUACUACAAAAUGUGUUGAAGUUUCUGAUGCUGGCAUAGGGGAUGAGCUGAGAAUCUCACAUUUUUAGAGUUCAAAAAGAUUUUUUUAAUAGUUCUAAACAUCUGAAAUGUUUCAACAUAUAUCCUUCCUGCAUUCCUUCCAACUAUGAAUCCUAGAAACGCUACUAGUUCAGUGAAAGAACCAAAUGGAUUGUUUUUAGCAAAGCUGCUGGAUUUCAUAAUUAGUUGGGUUGUUGGUCAAAACUCACCUGCCUAUAAU